rnacentral:misc_RNA from 1 species
GAUGAAGAACGUAGCGAAAUGCGAUAAGUAGUGUGAAUUGCAGAAUUCAGUGAAUCAUCGAAUCUUUGAACGCACAUUGCGCCCUCUGGUAUUCCGGGGGGCAUGCCUGUCCGAGCGUCAUUUGCAACCCUCAAGCCCGGCUUGUGUGAUGGGUGCCGUCCCCUACGGGACGCGCCCCGAAGGCAAUGGCGGCGUCGCGGUUAUCCGAUCAGCCAAAGUGUAUGGGGCUUUGUCACUCACUUUACGGCCCGGACCGGCGCCAGUCCGAAUCAAUCUUUUUUCUAAAGUUGACCUCGGAUCAGGUAGGGAUACCCGCUGAACUUAAGCAUAUCAAUAAGCGGAGGA